AUAAGAAGUGAGGAAAGUCCGGGCUCCACCGGAAAAAAUGCCUGGUAAUAACAGGGCAAAAAACGGUAGUUGUAAUUCAUUGCAUAACCCGUUUUUUGACAGAAAGUGCCACAGAAAAAAUACCGCCAGCAAUGGUAAGGGUGCAAAGGCGAGGUAAGAGCUCACCGCGGCUCUGGUAACAGAACCGGCAAGGUAAACCUCAUUUGGAGCAAAGUCAAGUAGUGGUCUGGUUUUCCGGACCUGGGGCCACGGGUAGACUGCUAAAGGCUUCUGGUAACAGAAGUUUCGGAUAGAUGGUUAUGCGUUUCAGGAACUUUUUAGUUUUUUGAAACAGGACAGAACCCGGCUUAUUUUCUUUUC
rnacentral:RNase_P_RNA from 1 species